UCAAGAUGUAGAGCUCUCAGCUCCUCUAGC
rnacentral:piRNA from 1 species